rnacentral:rRNA from 1 species
GAUGAACGCUAGCGGCAGGCUUAAUACAUGCAAGUCGUGGGGCAGCAGGGGUAGCAAUACCCGCUGGCGACCGGCAAACGGGUGCGGAACACGUACGCAACCUUCCUUUAACUGGAGAAUAGCCCCUCGAAAGAGGGAUUAAUACUCCGUAACAUAUUGAUAAGGCAUCUUAUUAAUAUUAUAGCUCCGGCGGUUAAAGAUGGGCGUGCGACUGAUUAGAUAGUUGGCGGGGUAACGGCCCACCAAGUCUGCGAUCAGUAACUGGUGUGAGAGCACGACCAGUCACACGGGCACUGAGACACGGGCCCGACUCCUACGGGAGGCAGCAGUAAGGAAUAUUGGUCAAUGGACGCAAGUCUGAACCAGCCAUGCCGCGUGGAGGAUUAAGGCCCU